AUCAACAAGUAACAAGGAGGCAAUGUCCAGUAAAGAACUACAAUGAACAACAACAAUUUGCAAGAGAAAACAUUUUCUUUUCACGCACUUUAUGACACAUGUUGUUGUUGUUACAUGUGUGGCAGGAAUAAAGUCAGCGUUCCUACAAUCAUUCGCGUGAGAUCGUCUAACCGCGUAAAAACACAGACACACACACACACACACACACACUACUUGUCAACAGUGUUUUCUUCUCCCAUGUUUGUGCUACAGGCCACAUGACGAACGCAAGCACGGACACCUAGUACUUAUGUUUGUCGGAGUAGUGUCAUUUAUACAUUAAAAUUUACCAUAAGGAGGAUCUGUAAGUAUAACAUCGAUCCAUGGUUUGAUAUAUGAAGUCAUCGCCUUCACUGGGUAUCGUGUCUGAGCCAUCACGUGCACAAAAAAAUGAAUAGAAUGUUUUAACGGAGGAAAACGGUUUUCAAAUCAUCACUUUUGUUUAAAGUUCAAAUAUAUAGGUUGCAUUCCUUUUUUUUUUUUUCUGUGUUGGAAAUACUUAACGCGCAAAGCCAUACCCAUGCAGCUAUGUCUAUUCGAAGAAUUUCGGGUACUGGUUGUCGAGUACUAUCAACACGGUCUGACAUUUUAUUCUACGGUACCUGAGAGAACUGGAACAUUUAGAUUAAAACGGGACACACCCCAACCCUUCAACACUCUUGAAUCAAUAUCCCCUCCAAGAGUCAAUGCACUAAAAAAAUUAUUGAAAUUUUUUUUGCACUUUAAACUUGAUUUUACCCAAAGUGUGAUGCAGCUAAAAGUAAGCUACCCGUGCCACAGAAAGGAUCUAAAACAAUAGUUCCGGGUGUGAUUUUAGCCUAAAAGCAAAAGCAUUUUUGUUCGCUUAGUUACACAUGUUUUUUUUUUCUUCACAAGAAAACUUUCUGACUUGAUUUGCCAUAAGAAAACUUAAUUCAUGAUCUAAUGUAGUUGGUCCCAGAAUGGGCCUGAAGUAUAAAGAAAUAUCCAAUACAAUUAGACCAAUAUGGAGUUUUGGCGUGAAGAAGAAAAUACGAUUUCAAUAGCACCUUGAUUUCAAAGAAUAUUUAGAAAACCAAGGUAAACGAGAAGGUGAUGCUUCAAUCUAUGGAUGAAGUUAUCACUAGUAAGAAAAAAAAAAGUGUUGAUUACAGUUCGUGUAAAGAAGACUUGUUGCAGUGUGGGGCUGUCGCAUACUGCACUGCGCUCCCAUUUCUAAUAUAAGGCAAGAUGCCAGUCAAAAGUACUACAUGUGAGAUUUUGUUUUAAAGCUCAGGUUACCUCGAAUAUAACCAGUUUUGUAUCGGGAUUUUUAAUAUUAGCUUUAAUAUCGGAAGUGAAUAAAAAAGAAAAAUGAGACAUUCGUUGAAUUUUCUCUGUUUCACUCAAACAAUGUCCAAAAGAUUUGAUAAGAAAAGAAAAACUUUUUUUUGGAUUGAUCCAUUCCUGAAUCAUUGACAGAGCUGAAAAAUUAAUGAAUGAAUAUGAAGGAUUUGAAAAAAAAACAUUGCUUUUCAAUUUGUAUACAUGAUAAAAACCUUUAAUUAAAACGGAGCGAUUUAGAAUUUGGGAUGCAAUUUUUGGGACAUCCGACAAAGGAA